AGUGAACGCUGGCGGUAGGCCUAACACAUGCAAGUCGAACGGCAGCACAGUAAGAGCUUGCUCUUACGGGUGGCGAGUGGCGGACGGGUGAGGAAUACAUCGGCAUCUACUUUUUCGUGGGGGAUAACGUAGGGAAACUUACGCUAAUACCGCAUACGACCUACGGGUGAAAGCAGGGGAUCUUCGGACCUUGCGCGAUUCAAUGAGCCGAUGUCGGAUUAGCUAGUUGGCGGGGUAAAGGCCCACCAAGGCGACGAUCCGUAGCUGGUCUGAGAGGAUGAUCGGCCACACUGGAACUGAGACACGGUCCAGACUCCUACGGGAGGCAGCAGUGGGGAAUAUUGGACAAUGGGUGCAAGCCUGAUCCAGCCAUACCGCGUGAGUGAAGAAGGCCUUCGGGUUGUAAAGCCCUUUUGUUGGGAAAGAAAAGCAGCAGGUUAAUACCCCGCUGUUCUGACGGUACCCAAAGAAUAAGCACCGGCUAACUUCGUG
rnacentral:rRNA from 1 species